AAAGCGGCGACGGGUGAGUAACGCGUAGGAAUCUACCUGGUAGUGGGGGGACAACUUGGGGAAACCCAAGCUAAUACCGCAUACGCCCUAAGGGGGAAAGCGGGGGAUCUUCGGACCUCGCGCUAUUGGAUGAGCCUGCGUAGGAUUAGCUUGUUGGUGAGGUAAAAGCUCACCAAGGCGACGAUCCUUAGCUGGUCUGAGAGGAUGAUCAGCCACACUGGAACUGAGACACGGCCCAG
rnacentral:rRNA from 1 species